rnacentral:rRNA from 1 species
CCCUUAGAUGUUCUGGGCCGCACGCGCGCUACACUGAUUCAUGCAACAAGUUUUGUCCUUGGCUGAUAGGCCUUGGUAAUCUUUGAACGUGAAUCGUGAUGGGGAUAGAUGAUUGCAAUUAUUCAUCUUCAACGAGGAAUUCCUAGUAAACGCAAGUCAUCAGCUUGCAUUGAUUACGUCCCUGCCCUUUGUACACACCGCCCGUCGCACCUACCGAUUGAAUGGUCCGGUGAAAUCUUCGGAUCUGAGAGAUGUCUGAUUAAUUUCGGACGCCUUUUGGAAAAGUUGCUUAAACCUUACCAUUUAGAGGAAGGUGAAGUCGUAACA